rnacentral:rRNA from 1 species
UACGUAGGAGGCAAGCGUUGUCCGGAAUCACUGGGCGUAAAGCGCGUGUAGGUGGAGCGGGAAGUCUGCUGUGAAAGCGCCUGGCUUAACCGGGCGAGGUCGGUGGAAACUCCCGCACUAGAGGCCGGUAGAGGGGGGUGGAAUUCCGGGUGUAGAGGUGAAAUGCGUAGAGAUCCGGAGGAACACCCGUGACGAAGGCGGCCCCCUGGGCCGCGCCUGACGCUGAGACGCGAAAGCGCGGGGAGCGAACGGG